rnacentral:rRNA from 1 species
GCGGACGGGUGAGUAACACGUGAGUGACCAACCUGGAGGCGGGGGACAACCCAGGGAAACUUGGGCUAAUACCGCGUACAGCGGCGGAGAUGGAGCUCCGUCGUGAAAGCUGGCCUCUCUUUGAAGCUAGCGCCUCCAGACGGGCUCGCGGCCUAUCAGCUCGUUGGUGAGGUAAAGGCUCACCAAGGCGAUGACGGGUAGCUGACGUGAGAGCGUGAUCAGCCACACUGGGACUGAGACACGGCCCAGACUCCUACGGGAGGCAGCAGUGGGGAAUCUUGCACAAUGGGCGAAAGCCUGAUGCAGCGACGCCGCGUGGGGGAGGAAGGCCCUAGGGUUGUAAACCCCUGUCAGGUGGGAAGAGCAAGAGGUCGGCGAACAGCCGCCCUCUCCGACGGUACCACCAGAGGAAGCUCCGGCUAACUCCGUGCCAGCAGCCGCGGUAAAACGGAGGGAGCGAGCGUUGUCCGGAAUUACUGGGCGUAAAGAGCGCGUAGGCGGCCGUGUAAGUCGCAUGUGAAAGGCCGGGGCUUAACCCCGCGUAUUGCAUGUGAUAC